rnacentral:rRNA from 1 species
UACGUAGGGGGCAAGCGUUGUCCGGAAUCAUUGGGCGUAAAGCGCGUGUAGGCGGUUCAGUAAGUCUGCUGUGAAAGUCCAGGGCUCAACCCUGGGAUGCCGGUGGAUACUGCUGGGCUAGAGUACGGAAGAGGCGAGUGGAAUUCCCGGUGUAGCGGUGAAAUGCGCAGAUAUCGGGAGGAACACCAAUGCGAAGGCAGCUCGCUGGGACGUUACUGACGCUGAGACGCGAAAGCGUGGGGAGCAAACAGGG